AUCCCCUUGCAGAGCUAACGCCGUUUUAAACGAGUGCCGGAGAUAAGCGCCGGGAAAGGGGAUGAAACAU
rfam:Serratia sp. Leaf50 contig_7, whole genome shotgun sequence.